UGUUCUGUAGCUUAGUUGGUUAAAGCGCCGGACUAGGAAUAGCGGAGUCGUGGGUUCGAAUUCCACCAAAACAA
rnacentral:tRNA from 1 species